rnacentral:rRNA from 1 species
AGUGAACGCUGGCGGUAGGCCUAACACAUGCAAGUCGAACGGCAGCACAGUAAGAGCUUGCUCUUACGGGUGGCGAGUGGCGGACGGGUGAGGAAUACAUCGGAAUCUACUUUUUCGUGGGGGAUAACGUAGGGAAACUUACGCUAAUACCGCAUACGACCUACGGGUGAAAGCAGGGGAUCUUCGGACCUUGCGCGAUUGAAUGAGCCGAUGUCGGAUUAGCUAGUUGGCGGGGUAAAGGCCCACCAAGGCGACGAUCCGAAGCUGGUCUGAGAGGAUGAUCCGCAACACUGGAACUGAGACACGGUCCAGACUCCUACGGGAGGCAGCAGUGGGGAAUAUUGGACAAUGGGCGCAAGCCUGAUCCAGCCAUACCGCGUGAGUGAAGAAGCCCUUCGGGUUGUAAAGCCCUUUUGUUGGGAAAGAAAAGCAGCAGGUUAACACCCCGCUGUUCUGACGGUACCCAAAGAAUAAGCACCGGCUAACUUCGUG